AGGAUGAACGCUGGCGGCGUGCCUAACACAUGCAAGUCGAACGUCCUGUCUCGCAAGAGGCAGGGAGUGGCGGACGGGUGAGUACCACGUGGGUCAUCUACCGUGAGGUGAGGAAUACCGGCGAGAAAUCGCCGACAAGACCGCAUAGGCUCGAUGCAAGUCGAGCAAAGCUCUUUCGAGAGAGGGAGCGCCACACGAGGAGCCUGCGCCCGAUUAGCUAGCUGGUGGAGUAACGGUUCACCAGGGCGACGAUCGGUAGCUGGUCUGAGAGGACGAUCAGCCACACUGGGAUUGAGAACGGCCCAGACUCCUACGGGGGGCAGCAGUGAGGAAUUUUCCGCAAUGGGCGCAAGCCUGACGGAGCAACGCCGCGUGCAGGAAGACGGUUUUCGGAUCGUAAACUGCUUUUCUCGGGACGAGAACGGACGGUACCCGAGGAAUCAGCCCGGCUAACUACGUGCCAGCAGCCGC
rnacentral:rRNA from 1 species